CUUUCUGAAUUUACUAAUUUUAUUAUUCUGUUUUUUCACGAGGGUUCAGUGUUUACUUUUUUAUUAUUGCAAUUUGCUUAUGAUUUUGUAUCCUUCUUUGUUAGGUUUUAUUGAUUUUGCAUUUUGCUUCAUUAUGAUUCUGCAUUUUGCAUUUUAGGCAUAAAAACAAACAAAAGAAAAUUCCAUUAUGCUAGUUUAUGAUGUUUAAUUGAAACGUUUCCAGUUUUCAAAAAGCAUCCAUUUGAUGUAUUACUAUGUCUCUAGACUUGGAAUAAAAACUACGGGUGAAAUGUUAAUCCUGUAGUAAUCAGUGAUUAAUUCAUGAUUGGUUCUGUGUGAUGAAUUUGAGCUUGCUUUGCUGCUGAUUCAUUGACAUAAUAAGCUUGUGAUAUUCUAAUGAGAACCCUCUCUGCUGAUGUUCUAUCCCUGUGAGAUUCCUUUUAUAUCAUUCAAACAAUAUUUAUGGUUGAAUUUGAAUUUUUUGCAUAUGGUCACAUCAUCAGAAGUGGGAUGAUCACCUUGCAAUCAUGGCUGUUGGUGUGGUUGAUGGAAGUUCCGAAGCCAUUUUCCAGACUCUUAUGUCACUUGGUCCUUCAAGAUCAGCAUGGGAUGUCUGUUUCUACAAAGGCAGUGUGGUUGAGCACGUAGAUGGUCACAUUGACGUCAUUCACAAAGAGCUGUAUAGGGAUUGGUUGCCUUGAUUUAUUUUCAUAAGAAUUAUCAGAAGUUGGAUUGAACUACUUUAUCUGCUUGUGGAUGGAGUGGCACACCCUUGAUAUCAUCACUUUCUCUUGAUUGGUUGUAGCUGCCGUCCAGCCUCCGCAAUAUCUAUAGAGAAAGAAAAAGGGACAGCAAGCUGAAAUAUGACUUUAAAGGGGGUGCACAGGUGCAAAUUCGAUGUGCAGAACCAAAUUCACAAAAGACACCAAUUGAUAAUGAUUUAUCAGAUAGUGAAAUGAAUUCAAAAGAUACAAAGUAAAUGGUCCCAGUCCGCCAUUCAAGAAGAAUUACAAGAAAAUCAUAUAAGUAUGAUGUAUGUUAGUUUACCUGAUGUGUGCCAGUAUAAAGUCAUGAAAAAUUAUCAUGGUUUGGUCAUGUUAGCAGGAGAUUAAAUAAAAUUAUUAAGAAUUCCUUAUUUUUAAAUGCUUGCCUAUGGACAUGCUUUGUAAUUGGAGACAUUCUUCAAUCUAUGGAGUCAACUCCUCUUAGUCAAGAAAGGCUUUUUAAUCCUUGUUGAUGAUAAUGUUGAUUUGCAAACAGAAUUCUUCCAUAUUUCUUUAUGCGUACUGGUAACUGGACAUAAAAUCAUGAAAAGUUUUGGUGUUUUUAUAAACACAUUAUUGCCAUAUUGUGAAGUUGUGCUGGAACGAGGGGCCUAAUCUGCCUUGAAACUUGUGCUAAAAUGUUCAUAUAUAAUUUUUCUGUUAAACUAUUUUGUUGAAUUAUUUAGGAGGAUGAUUUGACUUAAAUUAGUAUUAUUGUGACUGAAGGUCGUACUCAUGUGGUUCUUUUUUUGGACCAGAUUUGCAGAACUUUACCCUCAUUACUUGCAACUGUGUUCAACAUUAUUUGUCCUUUUUGGUUUUUAUUUCUUUGAUCAUCAUUAAAAUGUAGGAAUUUAGAAAUUCAUUGAUCUUUUAUUUUAUAUUGAAGUUUUAUUCUAUCUUUGUUAACUCAUCAAUACAGGGAAAAAGUCCAUGCCCUGUAGUUGUUGAUAUUGAUAAUGAGGAUACUACAGAAGUGGAUCAAGUUCGAGAGGAAAAUAAAGAGCAUGCUUCAGACUUAAAAUCUAAGAAAGUUCCUCGAUCUGCUUCAGCCACUACUGCAAAUAAUGAAGUUGUGUCUAGUAACAAUGCAAAUAAUAUUCUUUUGGAAGAGUUGAAGCUUUUCGCUCACAAUGGAUGAUCAGAAAUCAUGAAGUUUCAUAUUUUAUAAUGAAGUAUAUAUAAAGGAAGUAGAUAAUGUAAUAGUUGGAAUUGUAAUUUAUGUAUUAAGAAUUUAUGGGUAAUUGUUAUGAUUUUGAUUUUUGGUAUUUUGUUAGAGCAUGUCAUGUGAUUAAACACUUUUUUUUGGUGACAACUUUAUGAAGGUUGGAUUAAUUGAUUU